rnacentral:rRNA from 1 species
AUUGAACGCUGGCGGCAGGCUUAACACAUGCAAGUCGAGCGGGGAAGGUUGCUUCGGUAACUGACCUAGCGGCGGACGGGUGAGUAAUGCUUAGGAAUCUGCCUAUUAGUGGGGGACAACAUCUCGAAAGGGAUGCUAAUACCGCAUACGUCCUACGGGCGAAAGCAGGGGACCUUCGGGCCUUGCGCUAAUAGAUGAGACUAAGUCGGAUUAGCUAGUUGGUGGGGUAAAGGCCUACCAAGGCGACGAUCUGUAGCGGGUCUGAGAGGAUGAUCCGCCACACUGGGACUGAGACACGGCCCAGACUCCUACGGGAGGCAGCAGUGGGGAAUAUUGGACAAUGGGGGGAACCCUGAUCCAGCCAUGCCGCGUGUGUGAAGAAGGCCUUUUGGUUGUAAAGCACUUUAAGCGAGGAGGAGGCUACUGGUAUUAAUACUACCGGAUAGUGGACGUUACUCGCAGAAUAAGCACCGGCUAACUCUGUGCCAGCCGCCGCAGUAAAAC